rnacentral:rRNA from 1 species
CCUACGGGUGGCAGCAGUGAGGAAUAUUGGUCAAUGGGCGCGAGCCUGAACCAGCCAAGUAGCGUGAAGGAUGACUGCCCUACGGGUUGUAAACUUCUUUUAUAAGGGAAUAAAGUGUGCCACGUGUGCCUUUUUGUAUGUACCUUAUGAAUAAGGAUCGGCUAACUCCGUGCCAGCAGCCGCGGUAAUACGGAGGUUCCGAGCGUUAUCCGGAUUUAUUGGGUUUAAAGGGGGCGUAUGUGGAUUGUUAAGUCAGUUGUGAAAGUUUGGGGCUCAACCGUAAAAUUGCAUUUGAUACUGGCAGUCUUGAGUACAGUAGAGGUAGGCGGAAUGCGUGGUGUAGCGGUGAAAUGCUUAGAUAUCACGAAGAACUCCGAUUGCGAAGGCAGCAUACCGGCGCCCGACUGACGCUGAGGCACGAAAGCGUGGGGAUCGAACAGGAUUAGAUACCCGGGUAGUC